rnacentral:rRNA from 1 species
GACGAACGCUGGCGGCGUGCUUAACACAUGCAAGUCGAACGGAAAGGCCCUGCUUUUGUGGGGUGCUCGAGUGGCGAACGGGUGAGUAACACGUGAGUAACCUGCCCUUGACUUUGGGAUAACUUCAGGAAACUGGGGCUAAUACCGGAUAGGAGCUCCUGCUGCAUGGUGGGGGUUGGAAAGUUUCGGCGGUUGGGGAUGGACUCACGGCUUAUCAGCUUGUUGGUGGGGUAGUGGCUUACCAAGGCUUUGACGGGUAGCCGGCCUGAGAGGGUGACCGGCCACAUUGGGACUGAGAUACGGCCCAGACUCCUACGGGAGGCAGCAGUGGGGAAUAUUGCACAAUGGGCGGAAGCCUGACGCAGCAACGCCGCGUGCGGGAUGACGGCCUUCGGGUUGUAAACCGCUUUCGCCUGUGACGAAGCGUGAGUGACGGUAAUGGGUAAAGAAGCACCGGCUAACUACGUG